rnacentral:rRNA from 1 species
UACGUAGGAGGCGAGCGUUAUCCGGAUUUACUGGGCGUAAAGAGCGCGUAGGCGGUCUCUUAAGUCAGGUGUGAAAUUUCCCAGCUUAACUGGGAGGGGUCACUUGAUACUGGGAGACUUGAGUGCAGCAGAGGAAAGUGGAAUUCCCGGUGUAGCGGUGGAAUGCGUAGAUAUCGGGAGGAACACCAGUGGCGAAGGCGGCUUUCUGGGCUGUAACUGACGCUGAGGCGCGAAAGCGUGGGGAGCGAACCGGAUUAGAUACCCGCGUA